rnacentral:snRNA from 1 species
GAGCUCGCUUCAGCAGCACAUAUACUAAAAUUGAAACGAUACAGAGAAGAUUAUCAUGGCCCCUGCGCAAGGAUGACAUGCAAAUUUGUGAAGCGUUCCUUAUUUUU